AUUGAACGCUGGCGGCAGGCCUAACACAUGCAAGUCGAACGGUAACAGGAGACAGCUUGCUGUUUCGCUGACGAGUGGCGGACGGGUGAGUAAUGUCUGGGAAACUGCCUGAUGGAGGGGGAUAACUACUGGAAACGGUAGCUAAUACCGCAUAACGUCGCAAGACCAAAGAGGGGGACCUUCGGGCCUCUUGCCAUCGGAUGUGCCCAGAUGGGAUUAGCUAGUAGGUGGGGUAACGGCUCACCUAGGCGACGAUCCCUAGCUGGUCUGAGAGGAUGACCAGCCACACUGGAACUGAGACACGGUCCAGACUCCUACGGGAGGCAGCAGUGGGGAAUAUUGCACAAUGGGCGCAAGCCUGAUGCAGCCAUGCCGCGUGUAUGAAGAAGGCCUUCGGGUUGUAAAGUACUUUCAGCGGGGAGGAAGGGAGUAAAGUUAAUACCUUUGCUCAUUGACGUUACCCGCAGAAGAAGCACCGGCUAACUCCGUG
rnacentral:rRNA from 1 species